UUUUGACACUGAGUUCAUCACUUUCCAUCAGUGUCCCCAUUUCCUGGAUGUCAAAAUGUAUAUCUAGUCAAAUUGUGUUACCAGAAUAACAUCAAGCAACUCUCAGGUCACCACAUCAGCAAAAGAGCUGCUUUCAUAAUAUCAUUUUAUGAUUGGAUAACUACUGUAAUUCCUUUUUAGAGUGAUAAGGAUUUCCAUGUCAAAACACAAAAUUCUUUGUGCCAUUAAAAUAGUAGAAAUCAGUAGUUAGGAAACAACCCACAGUGGGUGACUUGGGAGGCCAGUCCUACAGGUGUUUCUAAUGACUAUUUAUUACAUCAGAGAAUACUAAAGAAUCCAUGAAAAAGCGGGCCACAGAAAUAGGUAAUAAGGCUUUACUAGUGUAUGAAUAUAUGACACAAAGAAUAGUAUUAUGUUACUGUGUUUUAUAGUAUAACACUUAUAAGGCUACUUUCAUUAUGUCCCUUUUCACUAAUGUAUACCUUUCUGGAUUUAUUUUCUUUUUGGAAUUAGAGUUUUACGUCUGUUAUCUUUGUGGAAAGCUUACUUAAUUACUGCUUGUAAGAAGCUAAAUAAAAACCAUUUUCCUGUUCUCUGUUCAUGUUUGAAAGUUGAAAAAAAUUAAUCUUUCUCUGCAUAGUAAACUGGUGCCACACACUCUUUUUAAACACAUCAUUACAGAACAGCUGAACUUUGAAAUUUGGCGAUGUCUAAUAUUUUUUGUAAUCUAUCUCUAAGUAUACUUAAAAGAUAUUACUUUGUCUGAAAUUUUAAUGAACACAAGAUUUACAGAAUAUUGCUGAGUACCAGGACUGUCAAGUAGUUAAACCCUCAUCCUGCCAAAGGGUGGCAAACAGAAAUCAGUACCAAUAGACAACCCUGUAUAGUCCACCCAAAUGUGAGGAAUUCAGCAGCAGUUCAAGAUCUGACCCGAACAGCAGAACUGGAAGGGGCUAUGAGAGGUCCUCUGGCACAUCCUCAACAAGAAGUCAAAUCUACAUGAUUUUGUUUCAUUAUUUUUUUUAAUUUCUUACUUUUUUGUUAAGACCAUGAGGGGCAUUUCCCAACUGCCCUGAUAAAAUGUAUCCGUCUUCACACGUGGAGCCCUUUACCUAAAGUCUAAUCUGGAUGUUCCUAAAUGUUACCUCUUUGAAUACCUACCAUUUAGAAGUUCUUUUUGCAGGAUGACUCUUCCAGUCUUUGAGGUUAGCCUCUAAGAAAGCUUCUAGCCUCUGUGACACAGCCGUGUGCGUUUUCUUUACUUCACUUGACAAGCACAAGUGGUGUUGGUCUCAGAGUAUUGCUGGGUGCUUUCUUUGUGGGAGAAGGGAAAAAACACUCCCCAAAUGAAACACUGCAUUAGCACUGAAAUUAUAAAAAAUAUUUCAAGUACAGCCUAAAAGAAGAUCAGGAAAUCUGAAAACGUGGGAGCGGAAUAACAAUCCAUCAAAGAAUGACACAUUAGCAUGGAGACUGUCACAUUGCUUGUCCACUUGUCACAGCUGAACUCUAAGCUAUUCAGCCAACAUCCUGAGACUGACCCCAACAAGGUGGUGGCUCUACAUGCUACCUCCUGCGUUGAAAACAUGGAAGAUUCCUGCUGCUUCCCAAAGUGUCUUAAAGGAAAAGGUUUGUUAAGGACUGGAAGCAACCAAGGUAAGUAUAGAGGAAAAAGACUUCACCCGGUGCAAAUCUGCUCAGUCAACUCUACCCAAUGUGCCUACCAAAUUGCAAGACAAAUAUAGGGAGAAAUAUGGUGAAUAGUUUCUGGAUUAUGUGUAGUGGCACUAUGAUAUCAUAAUGAUAUUUCAAGUAGUUUCUGAGUAACGCAAGGUUAUCACAUAAAACUGUUGCUUUAAAUCAUCACAGUUUAGCAUUUUAACAUUCUUCCUAUUGCCUCCUAUGAAUGAUGUGAUGCAGAACAGGACCUGCUGCUGGAAAGAGAUAACUCAAAUGCUGUGCAUGAACAUUGAAACUGAUCUUUCACUGUCACAUCUCUGCGGUACACAAGAAGGAAAUAAACCACCAGGAAACAGUAACUUUGACUUUCAGAAGACAAAAUGCAGCAUAAAGCCAUAAGGCUUUUGCUAGGAUUGGAUAAGCUUGGAUCUAGCGCUGUGUGAAGUUCACAGCUUUAGUUUACCUAUGCUUCAGCGAAUUUUGCCAGUAGGCUGUUUUGCUUUGCUCGAUUUCCCACCAAUAAAUUUCAGACUUAUGUGUGCUGGAAAAUCAGAGCUGGUGCUGAACUUAGGCAAAUUUUGCUUUUCCCUUGCACAUUACCAACACACAGUUAAUCCCCUGCUGUCUCUGACAGUGUAGGGAAAUAGUAGUAUCACAUAUGCUCAGAAUCAUCACACAAAAUGUUUAAAGAGCAAACAAGAAAAAAGACCUACUGCUGACUUAAUAUGACCUACCGCACUUGCAAGGUCAUUUACCUGUGCUGAGAGAGAGCAUACAAGUUUUUUUCUGGAUGAAGGACUUGCACGGCUGGUGGGAUCUUGAAAGCUGCAGAUCCAUGCUUGCCAGCCAUAAGCUUUGCUUUGUAAAUACAUUCCUCCCACUUACCAAACAGCAGGCCAUGUUAUUGUUUCAGGUUGGGUCACCUGUAGGCAGAGCUGUCCCAGAGUAACAAAAGGUGCAAUAAUGUGUGUUUAGUUAAAUCAGGUAAUCAUUUAAACCAGCACAUUGGAGCUGGAUCAGGUAAGAUUACAAUCAAUGCCCACUCACUCCAUUGCACCAACAAAACUCUUUCAGAUUAACUCCUUCCAGCUUCUAUACGUAGAGUACGUUUUCUCAGAAACAUUUCUUCUGGCCCUGAAGUCCAGAAAUGUGACCAGAGACCGCCACAAGUGAGACGUGGUGGCUGGUGCAUCACAGUGUUCUGACAUGAGUGUUAGGCAAAUUCAACAUGUCUGCUGGAAUGAUUUAGCACUCCAAGUGCAGUGAUUAGCGCACCUAUAGCCUGAAGUGGAGGUUUCUGCUUUCCCAAUGUAGACUUUGUUCCACCCGUUCUUCAUGUCCCGCACUCACAGCCCUGUAUGACCAAGGCAGUGGUUUUGAAAGAACGUUCAGUCUCCCAGCGUUGCUCAUGAACAAGUAUUGUGGUGAUGAGCCUGCUAGAGCAGAUUAGGUAACUAAUGGCAUUUCAAAUCAUCUUGCUAUUUUUUGUCAAAUGACUAUAUGGUGCAUUUGGCUUGUGCAAAAAUUACUGUUCAGUGAGAGCUGUAACCACUAGAAGGAACAUUUUUGAAAGAAAGUUUAUAUUUCCUAGGAACCAAAAAAAGGAGAUGACAUUUUCCUGUAUCUAUAAACAACACAAUUUGAAUAAUAUAUUUUGCCAAUAAAGAUGUCAAAAUCUUGUUGAAAAA